AUGAAAAGAAAUGUUCGGAGCCCAGACCUUGGACUGCUAAGCUCUUCUGGGCCCGCCCGCCGGUGUAAUAACACUGGUUCCCUCCACCUCUCCUUUCCGAGUGCCGCUCGGUUCUUUAGGGGUGAGGUGUCUGACUGGGAAACACCGAGCUCGCCCAUGGCGCCACCCGUCGGAGUAAGGGGAACCAGACGGCGGCCUGCCCCCACUUUGGCCAGACCUUCUUCAUCGGGGGAGGGUAACCGUUGGUCGCACCAACUUCUCCCUACCGGACUCAGUGGAGGGCUGGGCCCGCCCCCUGGUGCAGCUUCGGGACAGAAGAAGCUGAGUCAAUGAGUCUAGACCAAGAGCUACUUCAGCCCAGCCACCAACUAGAGCCUGAUGCUUCACCUGCCUAGAUCUCAAGGAUGCCUUCUUCUGCCUUCACCUGGCCCCACAAAGCCACCCUGUAUUUGCCUUUGAACGAGAAGAUCCCAAUACAGGUUGGAAGACCCAGUUGACUUAGACAAGGUUUCCCCAGGGCUUCAAAAACUCUCCUUGUCUGGAGAGGCCCUAGCUGCAGAUCUGGCCACUUUCCCAAGAGAAAAAGUGAAUUGCAUUUUACUGCAGUAUGUAGAUGACCUCUUACUGGCAAGUGAGGAAGGGCACUGUUGGAAGAGGCACAAGAACCCUUUUACAGUUGCUAAUGGACACAGAAUACAAGGUGUUACAGUUUGUGUGUGGAUGUCCCCCAAAGCCUCAUGCAGUCAUGGGGGUGGGUGGGUUUUUUGGAGGUGGCUGAAUCUAGAGUUGGUGAUGGGUUCACUGUCUAGUACUGGGAUUGGGGGUGUGAGUGCUAUACACACCAUAGUGCAGGUAUACACACCAUAGCCUGCAUAAUAUAAGGGGGGAAAGAGGCUUGCAUCUCCCUUUUGCUGUCUGCUGCUGCCAUGAACUGUUGUUUUGUUGCUUUUGCUGUCUGCUGCUGCCAUGAACUGUUGCCCCUCUGCCAUGCCACUCUGCCUUGGAACCAACUGAUGUGGACUGUAACCUCUGCAAACUGAAAGCUAAAUAAACCUUUUCUCCUUUAACUCUGGGUGUUGUGUAUUUUCUCUCUGCAACAAAAGAAAAGUAAUGAAGACGUAAGGUGUCUUGCAAGUCUGAUGCCUGGGAUUUAUCAUUACAGUGGGACACUGCCUGGUGCCUGACAGAAAAUGAGUUAUUUGCUCCAUCCUAAAGCCCAACAACAGAAAAAGGCUGGGAAUUUUCAGGGGCAGCCAGGUUCUGUUGUAUAUGGAUACCUGGGUUCUCCAAGAAGCCUAAGCUGCUAUAUGCAGCACUGACCAAACCACAAGAAAAACCUCUUGAAUAGGGGAACAAGAGGAGACUUUCAAAGAGAUCACAAGCUGCUCACCUGUGCCCUGGCUUUAGGACUACCCGAUGUAAAUAGAGAAUUUAACUUCUCUGCCUGUGGAAAAAAGUUAUACUGCUUAACUCAGAUGACUGGACCUUCCAACCAGCUUAGAUAAGAGGCAAGUAACCUACUUAUCUAAGCAACUAGAUGCUGUUGCAACAGGAUGUCCUCCCCACCUUUAGGCCUUGGCAGCAACAGUCACCCUCAUUAAAGAGGCUGACACAUUAACCUUGAGACAAGCCUUUUGAAUCAAACUCCCCCACUCAGUCAUGAAUAAGCAGGGACACAAAUGACUAUCCCAGGCCAGAAUGACCCAGUAUCAAGGACUUCUCUGUAAAAAUCACUGAAUCAC
ensembl:lincRNA